UGGGGAAUAUUGGACAAUGGGCGCAAGCCUGAUCCAGCCAUGCCGCGUGGGUGAUGAAGGCCCUAGGGUUGUAAAGCCCUUUCGGCGGGGAAGAUAAUGACGGUACCCGCAGAAGAAGCCCCGGCUAACUUCGUGCCAGCAGCCGCGGUAAUACGAAGGGGGCUAGCGUUGCUCGGAAUCACUGGGCGUAAAGCGCACGUAGGCGGACUCUUAAGUCGGUGGUGAAAUCCUGGGGCUCAACCCCAGAACUGCCUUCGAUACUGAGAGUCUUGGAGUCCGGGAGAGGUGAGUGGAACUGCGAGUGUAGAGGUGAAAUUCGUAGAUAUUCGCAAGAACACCAGUGGCGAAGGCGGCUCACUGGCCCGGUACUGACGCUGAGGUGCGAAAGCGUGGGGAGCGAAACAGGAUUAGAUACCCUGGUAGUCCACGCCGUAAACGAUGGAUGCUAGCCGUUGGCAGGCUUGCCUGUCAGUGGCGCAGCUAACGCAUUAA
rnacentral:rRNA from 1 species